AAGACGAGAAGACCCUGUCGAGCUUAAUAAAAUUGUAAAGAGUUUUUAUAUAAUAAAUUUAACUGGGGCAGUUGAGAACCAAUAAAUAGUUCUUUGUUAUUUAAAGAUCCGGUUUUACCGAACAUAAGAAAAAGCUACCGCAGGGAUAACAGCGUUAUCCUCUCUGAGAGAACUAAUUGAAGAGGGGGUUUGCGACCUCGAUGUUG
rnacentral:rRNA from 1 species